rnacentral:misc_RNA from 1 species
UCAAAUUAAUAAAUUAUUCGAACAAAAAUGAUAUAAUAUGACGUAAUUAUAGAUUACAACAUGUUUCAUACAUAUACAUUACAUACUAUAAUAGCGUUGCCGCCGUUUCAGUGUUCAUUAUAGUUUAUAUAGCAGUACCAUAAUUUUCGUUUAAACUAUUUGAAUUUGUUUACAGUCAGUUUGUUCAUUAGUCAUUAAGGUAUAUCUUAAAUCGUGACAGUAAUAUCUAAAUCGGAUUUGUUCUUUGUAUUUCCAAAUUUAUUUUGUGAAAUACUGUUAUGAGUAAUCCUAAUCAAAAUAAAUGGAGAAGUGGCAGAUAUUGGAAAAAGUAUGCAAAUAAAAACAAUCAACCAAAAAAUACUAAUAACGUUGAAUGUGAUGUGAAUAUUAAUAUUGAGAAUUUGCAAGAGUGUCCAUUUCAUGGAUGGCAGCUUUAUUUUCCAAAUGAAAAAUAUGAUGAAAAUAGCAUAACAGUGAAAUGUAUUUUUGCUUGUGAAUUAUUUUUAAAUACACACGAACAAAAUAUUUCUAUUGAACAACUUGUAGAAAAUAAAUCAUAUCUUUUGAAUGUAGAUUCUUUAAACCAAGAUGAAGAUUUCACCUCAGUCUGGUCACAUUUUUGGGACGAUUUAACGAAUCACCCAAAUUACACAUUAAAAUGUUUAGGACUUGCUAUUCAUCAUUAUGCAUUAGAAGAAUUAAAUAAAAAUAUUCAUGAUGAUUGUACUAAAUUCAAAAAUUUACCAAUGAUUCAUCCCAGAAUUUUAAAUUUUGGUCCAAUAUUUCAUUUGAAAAAUUUAAGAGCUGAUACUGAUGGAAAACUAAUUUUAGUUCACGGGACUGUAAUAAAAGCCAGUAGUUUGAAAUUUCAAUGUUUGUGGUUAGGAUUUGUGUGCAAUACUUGUGGCUCAAUUCAAAAUAUUAAACAAUCUGAUGGUGUAUUUUCAAAACCAAAACAAUGUAGCAAUGCUGUAUGCCGUAUCCGUUCAUUUUCAAUAUGCAGAAAUUCACCACUUACUCAAACAAUUAACUGUCAAACUAUUAGAGUUCAAGAAUUACAAAGUGAUGACCAGAGAGAAAGUGGUAGAGUACCCAGAACUGUUGAAUGUGAACUUACAAAUGAUUUGGUUUAUACUUGUAUUCCUGGAGAUGUUGUUAGUGUUACCGGUAUUGUAAAAAAGAAAUCAUGUAAUUCUGGUAAACAAAAUGCUCAAAGUAAAGAAUCUAAUGUUUUUAUGCAAUAUAUUGAAGUAGUAUCUAUACAAAACAAUAAAAACCAGUCUAAAGGAAAAGUUACAAGUACUGCAUUUCAAUUUACGAUGAGAGAUUAUUACUGUAUCCAAAAACUCCAUUCAAAACCAUAUCUUUUUGAAUUAAUGGUAAAUUCAAUAUGUCCGGGUAUUUAUGGUCAUGAAAUGGUGAAAGCUGGUAUGUUGCUUUCUCUAUUUGGUGGAAGUAAUUGUGCUUUAAAUCAAACACGUGGAGAUAUUCAUAUUUUAGUCAUUGGUGAUCCUGGCCUUGGAAAAUCACAAAUGCUUCAGUCUGUAUGUAAUAUUUCACCACGAGGUGUGUUUGUUUGUGGAAGUACAUGUUCAUCAGCUGGACUAACUGUUAGUCUAACUCGAGAAAAAGGUAUUGAUUUUUCUUUAGAAGCUGGAGCUGUUGUUUUGGCUGAUCAAGGUGUGUGUUGUAUUGAUGAAUUUGAUAAAAUGACUCAAGAUCAUAAUACAUUAUUGGAAGCUAUGGAACAACAAACAAUAAGUAUUGCUAAAGGUGGAGUUAUUUGUUCUUUACCUUGCCGAACUACUAUAAUGGCUGCAGCAAAUCCAAUUAGUGGACACUAUGACCAAAAUAAAAGUGUAUUAGAGAAUUUGAAAAUGAGUCAAGCAAUGUUAUCUCGUUUUGAUUUAAUUUUUUUACUUAUAGACACACCCAAUGAAUUGACUGAUAAACAUCUAACUGAACAUGUGCUUAAUAUACAUUCAAAUAAACUGAAGCACACCCAGAAUAUUAACAAUUCUGAUGAAAUUAAUAAUUCAUUGAAAGAACGAUUUUCACAAUUUAGUAAAAGUAGCGAUUAUAUUUCUCAAGCAGAAUUACGUAAAUAUAUAGCAUAUGCAAGAAAAUAUGUUUCAUCUCCAACUUUAUCAAAUGAAGCCAAAGAAAUGUUACAACAGUUUUUUAUUGAAUUACGUACUAAAAAUUUAAGCUAUGGUAUUCCAAUAACUGUAAGACAAUUAGAGUCUUGUAUUAGACUUGCACAAGCACGUGCCAAAGUAGAACUUCGAGAAGAAGUAACUGCAAAAGAUGCAUAUGAAGUAAUUGAACUGAUUAAUUUUAGUCUUGUAAAAACUCAAUGCGAUGAAUUUAGUGGAUUUGGAUUUAAGAAAAGUAUGAAAAAAACUGGAAUUCGUGCUCAGUCAAGGAAAUUAUUAGCUGAGUUACAAAGACAUGAUGGACAGAUCUAAAUUGUGUGGAUGUAAAGGAGUUAGAACUUGUUUUGUAUGUGAAAAAGAAUUUAAAUUAACUCCUACUGUUAAUUCUGCAAAUUUAAAAAAAUUAUUAAGUGCGUCUUAUUGUUUAUACUGUAAUUUAUUAUGGAGUGGUUGGAAUGCAUAUGAAUAUAAAAACCAUCCAAAUCAUACUGGUACAUCAUACCAUUUAGAUGGCAUUUUCAUUGAACAUGAGUUUAUCACAGA